AUAGCAUUAUACAGCGAAACUGCGAAUGGCUCAUUAUAUAAGUUAUCGUUUAUUUGAUAGUACCUUACUACUUGGAUAACCGUGGUAAUUCUAGAGCUAAUACAUGCUAAAAAUCCCGACUUCGGAAGGGAUGUAUUUAUUAGAUUAAAAACCAAUGCCCUUCGGGGCUCACUGGUGAUUCAUGAUAACUCCUCGAAUCGCAUGGCCUUGUGCCGGCGAUGGUUCAUUCAAAUUUCUUCCCUAUCAACUUUCGAUGUUUGGGUAUUGGCCAAACAUGGUUGCAACGGGUAA
rnacentral:rRNA from 1 species